GCGAGAGCGGAUCAGUUUCAAUGCGUGAUCAGCAGAGUGAAAGCAUAGGUCCUGCAGUCUUCUCUGAAAAGCAGCAAAGUUAUGCAAAUGAAGAUCUUUUCUGUAGCGACUUCACUUUGUGAACUGCAGGGAGAAUAUUUGUGAUCUCGAUUGGCAGUGGAUGAUGCUUAAUUGUCUCAGACUUCUCGUUGAAGUUUCCUUCAUGACGAUUCUGGAAUGUGCGUCAUUGAAGACCAACCACAUUUAGAGUCAUAUACAGCAACGGGAUAAAUCAAUAAAGCACAUCA